rnacentral:rRNA from 1 species
GUGGGGAAUAUUGGACAAUGGGGGGAACCCUGAUCCAGCCAUGCCGCGUGUGUGAAGAAGGCCUUUUGGUUGUAAAGCACUUUAAGCGAGGAGGAGGCUACUCUAGUUAAUACCUAGGGAUAGUGGACGUUACUCGCAGAAUAAGCACCGGCUAACUCUGUGCCAGCAGCCGCGGUAAUACAGAGGGUGCAAGCGUUAAUCGGAUUUACUGGGCGUAAAGCGCGCGUAGGUGGCCAAUUAAGUCAAAUGUGAAAUCCCCGAGCUUAACUUGGGAAUUGCAUUCGAUACUGGUUGGCUAGAGUAUGGGAGAGGAUGGUAGAAUUCCAGGUGUAGCGGUGAAAUGCGUAGAGAUCUGGAGGAAUACCGAUGGCGAAGGCAGCCAUCUGGCCUAAUACUGACACUGAGGUGCGAAAGCAUGGGGAGCAAACAGGAUUAGAAACCCUGGUAGUCC